UUUUCCCCACCAGAACAAUCCUCAGAUCGUUGUCCUGAAGGCCAGCCAUGUUCUUUCAAGAGGCUCUGGGUGCAGGUACCAACAAGACCUUAAGGAAGGAAAUAAGAAGGGGAAAGGGUACUUAGGUGAAAAAUAGUGGAGUAUAAAGUUCAUUUGGAUGAAGAAAAAAAGAAGGUUACUCAGCACCAUCGAGAAAAAUUUUGAGGAAGGACUACCUCUACCAGGAGUCAAGCAUUACAGUGUCUAUGAUUACAGAAGUGUGAUGUUGUUGUACGGAUAGAGAGAACAGAGAACCAAAAGCAGAAAAUUCAGAAACAGACCAAAUUAAUCAAACUCUUUAUAUUCAAUUCACUUACAAUAUUCUACAUUUAGAUUCAAUAUGGCAGCAUACCACAUCAAAGGGACCAAAGAUGUUGUAAUAAAGUAACUUUGGGGUAAUCAUAUAACUAUAUAGAAAAAAAACCCACAUAAAAUUGCAUCCAUUGUCUCAUGCCAAUCAAAUUGCAAGCAGAUUAGAAGUUUAAAUGUAAAAAAAAAUGCAUAAAAAGAAAAGAAAAAAAUAUGGAUAAAUUAUUGUAACCUGGAAGUAAGCAAAAUAUUUCUAAGAUUUGAAAUUGAGUAAGGAAAAUAAAUAAUAAGUGUGAUUACAUAAAAAUAUUAUAGAUAAUGUGAGACAAAAGAUAUCUUUGAAAAAUUAAAGCAAAAAUGUCAAAUUCAGGAAAGUAAUAUUUUUCAGUUUAAAACAAAAGAGGUAAAUGUUCCUGUUAUACAAAAAAAAUUAAAAAGUACAGAAACAAAAUACCAGCAACUUGACAGAAAAAGGAGCAAGAGAUGGGAAUAAACAUUCAGAGGAAAAUGAAUUUAAAUGAACCUUAAAUAUAUCAAAAGACAUUAACAUACACUCAGAGAAAAAUGAAAAAACACAAAAAAUAAAGUCACUAAAAUAUUAAUUAAAUUACACUUCUAUUUCUGAGGUGAGAUACUAUUUGACACCUCCAGGUUUGGCAAAAGUCCAAAGGUUUGCCAGCAUAAUCUGUUGGCAAAGGUAUGAGGGAAGCAGGUCCUCUCCUGCAUGGCUGGUGAGAAUGGAAAAACAGUCCAAACCCUACAGAAGGGAAUUCAGCACUGUGCUGCAAAAGUACAUAUGCAUUUUCUCAUUCAUUGUCAAUCCCCCAUUUUAAUAUUUAUCCCUUAAUUACACUGACAAAAAUGUAGAAAGAUGACACAUAGUGUAUUUAUUGCAUCAUUAUUUGUAUUAGCAAAAGACCAAAAACCUAUCAAAUGGCCAUUAGUAAGGACUGGUUGAAUUACCUAAGACAAAUUCACACAUUGAGGGACUAUUCAACUGUGAAAAGGAAUGCGUCUCUCUAUACAAGCAUGGAAAGGUCUCCUGGAUACAUCAUUAAGUGGGAAAAAAAAGUGGAGAAAAUAAUAUAGAGUUGACCUACGAUUCUUAUAAUAAGGAGGAAUAUGAGCUACAUAUAUAAAAUACAGGACAUAUAUUUUUCAUAUAUAUGAAAAGGCAAUAGCAGGAUACUCUAAAAUCUAAACCAACAAAAAUUUACUUACCUGGGAUGGGAGAAGCAGGGUGUAGGGAACAAGGACAGAAGCUGGAAACUGGAUUUCUUGGUUACACUAAGAUUUCAUAGAUUUGAAUUUGAGACCAUGUAGGUAGCUUACAUAAUUAUACAAAAAACUAUAUUCCAAAAUACUAAACCAAAAUGAAAUGACAAACAAACUUAUUUGUAUAUUGUGGGGUGGAUGAACCAUAUAAGGAAUUGGUCCAAGACACUUAAAAAAGCAAUAAUUUCAUUGGCCAUAUUUAGUGUUAUUAACAUAAGUUUAACAAAAAGAAAUAACCUGAAAAAAUAAAAUUGUUUUCAAAAAUC